rnacentral:rRNA from 1 species
AGAGUUUGAUCCUGGCUCAGGAUGAACGCUAGCGACAGGCUUAACACAUGCAAGUCGCGGGGCAGCGGGGGUGAAGCUUGCUUCACCUGCCGGCGACCGGCGCACGGGUGAGUAACACGUAUGCAAUCUGCCCUUCACAGCGGGAUAAUCGGGAGAAAUUCCGUCUAAUACCACAUAACACCCCCGGGGGACAUCCCCCGAGGGUCAAAGGAGCGAUCCGGUGAAGGAUGAGCAUGCGGCGCAUUAGCUGGUUGGCGGGGUAACGGCCCACCAAGGCGACGAUGCGUAGGGGUUCUGAGAGGAAGGUCCCCCACAUUGGUACUGAGACACGGACCAAACUCCUACGGGAGGCAGCAGUGAGGAAUAUUGGUCAAUGGACGCAAGUCUGAACCAGCCAUGCCGCGUGCAGGAAGACGGCUCUAUGAGUUGUAAACUGCUUUUGUACGAGGGUAAACGCUCUUACGUGUAAGAGCCUGAAAGUAUCGUACGAAUAAGGAUCGGCUAACUCCGUGCCAGCAGCCGCGGUAAUACGGAGGAUUCAAGCGUUAUCCGGAUUUAUUGGGUUUAAAGGGUGCGUAGGCGGUUUGAUAAGUUAGAGGUGAAAUUUCGGGGCUCAACCCUGAACGUGCCUCUAAUACUGUUGAGCUAGAGAGUAGUUGCGGUAGGCGGAAUGUAUGGUGUAGCGGUGAAAUGCUUAGAGAUCAUACAGAACACCGAUUGCGAAGGCAGCUUACCAAACUAUAUCUGACGUUGAGGCACGAAAGCGUGGGGAGCAAACAGGAUUAGAUACCCUGGUAGUCCACGCAGUAAACGAUGAUAACUCGUUGUCGGCGAUACACAGUCGGUGACUAAGCGAAAGCGAUAAGUUAUCCACCUGGGGAGUACGACCGCAAGGUUGAAACUCAAAGGAAUUGACGGGGGC